GCCUGUUAUCCCAACUACCAGAGAGGCUGACUCUGAUCUCUUGAGCCUGGGAGUUGUGGGCUUCCGAGGGCUUUGCCGAUUAGGUAUACACUCUAGUUUGGUAUUAAUAUGGUGAACCUUCACCAGCUUGCCUAAGGAGAAGCAGACUAAACCAGGUCAGAAAUAGAGCAGAUUAAAGGUCUUGUGCUUAUCAGCAGUUUUAUUGAGUCAUAUGUAGUAGCCCCUGCACUUCCAGCCUGGGCAACAUAGGGAGACC
rnacentral:sRNA from 1 species